GACGAACGCUGGCGGCGUGCUUAACACAUGCAAGUCGAACGGUAAGGCCCUUCGGGGUACACGAGUGGCGAACGGGUGAGUAACACGUGGGUGAUCUGCCCUGCACUUCGGGAUAAGCCUGGGAAACUGGGUCUAACACCGGAUAGGACCACUGCCUGCAUGGGUGGUGGUGGAAAGCUUUUGCGGUGUGGGAUGGGCCCGCGGCCUAUCAGCUUGUUGGUGGGGUGAUGGCCUACCAAGGCGACGACGGGUAGCCGGCCUGAGAGGGCGACCGGCCAAACUGGGACUGAGAUACGGCCCAGACUCCUACGGGAGGCAGCAGUGGGGAAUAUUGCACAAUGGGCGCAAGCCUGAUGCAGCGACGCCGCGUGAGGGAUGACGGCCUUCGGGUUGUAAACCUCUUUCAGCACCGACGAAGCGCAAGUGACGGUAGGUGCAGAAGAAGGACCGGCCAACUACGUGCCAGCCGCCGCCGUAA
rnacentral:rRNA from 1 species